rnacentral:rRNA from 1 species
CCUACGGGGGGCUGCAGUGGGGAAUAUUGGACAAUGGGGGGAACCCUGAUCCAGCCAUGCCGCGUGUGUGAAGAAGGCCCUCGGGUUGUAAAGCACUUUCAGUGAGGAAGAACGCCUGGUGGUUAAUACCCAUCAGGAAAGACAUCACUCACAGAAGAAGCACCGGCUAACUCCGUGCCAGCAGCCGCGGUAAUACGGAGGGUGCGAGCGUUAAUCGGAAUUACUGGGCGUAAAGCGCGCGUAGGUGGCUUGAUAAGCCGGUUGUGAAAGCCCCGGGCUCAACCUGGGAACGGCAUCCGGACCUGUAAAGCUAGAGUGCAGGAGAGGAAGGUAGAAUUCCCGGUGUAGCGGUGAAAUGCGUAGAGAUCGGGAGGAAUACCAGUGGCGAAGGCGGCCUUCUGGACUGACACUGACACUGAGGUGCGAAAGCGUGGGUAGCAAACAGGAUUAGAUACCCCGGUAGUC